AUUGAACGCUAGCGGGAUGCUUUACACAUGCAAGUCGAACGGCAGCACGAGAGAGCUUGCUCUCUUGGUGGCGAGUGGCGGACGGGUGAGUAAUAUAUCGGAACGUGCCCAGUAGCGGGGGAUAACUACUCGAAAGAGUGGCUAAUACCGCAUACGCCCUACGGGGGAAAGGGGGGAUUCUUCGGAACCUCUCACUAUUGGAGCGGCCGAUAUCGGAUUAGCUAGUUGGUGGGGUAAAGGCUCACCAAGGCAACGAUCCGUAGCUGGUUUGAGAGGACGACCAGCCACACUGGGACUGAGACACGGCCCAGACUCCUACGGGAGGCAGCAGUGGGGAAUUUUGGACAAUGGGGAACCCUGAUCCAGCCAUCCGCGUGUAUGAUGAAGGCCUU
rnacentral:rRNA from 1 species